AACGAACGCUGGCGGCAGGCCUAACACAUGCAAGUCGAGCGAGGACUUCGGUCCUAGCGGCGGACGGGUGAGUAACGCGUGGGAACGUGCCCUUUGCUUCGGAAUAGCCCUGGGAAACUGGGAGUAAUACCGGACGAGACCUAUGGGGGAAAGAUUUAUCGGCGAAGGAGCGGCCCGCGUUGGAUUCGGUAGUUGGUGGGGUAAUGGCCGACCAAGCCGACGAUCAAUAGCUGGUUAGUGAGGCUGAUCAGCCACUCUGGGACUGGGAAACGGCCCGGAAUCCUACGGGAUGGAGGAGAGGGUGAUGUUACACCAUCGGGUAAAUCCUGAUCGAGCCAGGCCGCGUGAGCUAUGAAGGCCUUAGGGUAGUAAAGCUCUUUCAGCUGGGAAGAUAAUGACGGUACCAGCAGAAGAAGCCCCGGCUAACUCCGUG
rnacentral:rRNA from 1 species